UCGUCAGCUUACCCUGCAAAGGCCAAACAGUAAGCAAAACGGGCACAGCCCAGAACGUCAGGCCGAGGUGUAGCGUACGAGGUGGGAAGAAAUGGGCUACAUUUUCUACAAUAGAAUAUUUUACAAACGGCGCCCUGAAACUACGUGCCCGAAGGUGGAUUUAGUAGUAAAAAGCAAAUAGAGAGUCCUUUUGAACUAGGCUCUGGAGCGCGCACACACCGCCCGUCACCCUCCCCUCUUACAACAACAAAAAGCUAUAUAACACAACCUCCAACACCAAGGGGAGGCAAGUCGUAACAU
rnacentral:rRNA from 1 species